rnacentral:rRNA from 1 species
UACGGAGGGUGCAAGCGUUAUUCGGAAUUACUGGGCGUAAAGGGCGCGUAGGCGGCCAUCUAAGUCAGACGUGAAAUCCCCCGGCUUAACCUGGGAACUGCGUCUGAUACUGGAAGGCUUGAGUAUGGGAGAGGGAUGUAGAAUUCCAGGUGUAGCGGUGAAAUGCGUAGAUAUCUGGAGGAAUACCGGUGGCGAAGGCGGCAUCCUGGACCAUAACUGACGCUGAGGCGCGAAAGCUAGGGGAGCAAACAGG